GUAUUUAUCGUUUGUUUUUUGUAACAAAUUAACCGCGAACAAAGUCCGCCCACUUUUGUUAUUAGAAAAUAAUAAAUUAAGAAGUUUACAACCAGAAACAAUAAAAUAUUUUAUCGUUAGUGCCGUAAAAGUAUAUGUAUGUGCACCAAGUGGUUUUGUUAAUAUAAUGUGCGCGAUGUGUGUGAGGUUGACGAUUUACCCAAUCAUCAUUAACAAAAUAAUUCGUAUUACACCUUAGACCUUGAGCAGAACGGUUACGAGGUAACAGCAAAUAACCUGGUUGGUUUUAACCAGAACUCAUCCUACGUCACACGGACAUGCAACAUUGUGGAAAGCAAGAGGUUUUUGUUCAUCUGUAUGUAAAUGGUGUUCAGACUUGUACGAUGUAGCUUUCUCUUGGAUCGAGCAAGUACAAGUUGAAUUUUAAG